UGAAGACAGGGCCUUGAAGACAGGGGAGUGGUAUGUUCGAAGAGUCACUUCAACAACCUAUCUCUUUAAACGAAAAAUUUCAGAGGUGAAAACCCACAGAGUCAUAAAAUAACUAUACACAGAAUUCAAACCCUGGACACUGAAUCAGUGAAGCAGCAGCACUUCCUACUGUACUGUGUAGCCGUGUGAGAGUGGUCAGCGUAGAGAUUGGCAAACGAUUUCAUCAGGAUAUUUCUGAAAUGGAAAAGCAAUACUGAGGCAAAUGCUGAACCCUUAAGAGGGAUAUAUUCCUGGAGAAGCGACAGACCCCUUUUUGGCUAUUGGAGAUGGAUUCCUGAGGCCAAGUACUACCCUUUAGUAGGUAAGCAUGUUAAUAAUAAAUAAAGCCUUGUGAAACAACCACCAUACAGUUGCCAUGGGCCCUGGUGCAACUGCCCCACCCACGGAGCAUACUGUAUAUUUAUAUACAUUGUGGAGGACUGCCGGCUUCCCAUGCUAGUCUGCACCCCCAGACCUCCAGGAGGAGCUCUCCCGACAGCAGGAUCAUGCCCUGAGUUCCAG